GAUGAAGAACGUAGCGAAAUGCGAUAAGUAAUGUGAAUUGCAGAAUUCAGUGAAUCAUCGAAUCUUUGAACGCACAUUGCGCCCUCUGGUAUUCCGGGGGGCAUGCCUGUUCGGGCGUCAUUAUAACCACUCAAGCUCUCGCUUGGUAUUGGGGCUCGCGGUUCCGCGGCCCCUAAAAUCAGUGGCGGUGCCUGUCGGCUCUACGCGUAGUAAUACUCCUCGCGAUUGAGUCCGGUAGGUCUACUUGCCAGCAACCCCCAAUUUUUACAGGUUGACCUCGGAUCAGGUAGGGAUACCCGCUGAACUUAAGCAUAUCAAUAAGCGGAGGA
rnacentral:misc_RNA from 1 species